GAAACGCGAUAGGUAAUGUGAAUUGCAGAAUUCCGUGAAUCAUCGAAUCUUUGAACGCACAUUGCGCCCGCCGGCAUUCCGGCGGGCACGCCUGUCCGAGCGUCAUUGCACCCAUCGCGCCCCGCGCGGUGUUGGGGGCCGUCGCGUCCGCGCGACCCCCCCGGAACCCGUUGGCGGUGGCCCCGCGCCCCGACCGUCGCACAUGAGACGGCCGGACGCGGGACCGCCCGCCGAACCCCCCCAAACGCUACGUUUGACCUCGGAUCAGGCGGGGAUACCCGCUGAACUUAA
rnacentral:misc_RNA from 1 species